rnacentral:rRNA from 1 species
UACGUAGGCAGCAAGCGUUGUUCGGAAUUACUGGGCGUAAAGAGUGUGUAGGCGGUGCUCUAAGUUUCGGUGUGAAAUCUCCCGGCUUAACUGGGGAGGGUGCGCCGGAAACUGGAGUGCUUGAGCGCGGGAGAGGAAAGCGGAAUUCCUGGUGUAGCGGUGGAAUGCGCAGAUAUCAGGAGGAACACCGAUGGCGAAGGCAGGUCACUGGGCCGCAACUGACGCUGAGGAGCGAAAGCAUGGGGGAGCGAACAGG